ensembl:lncRNA
CCGCCAUGGUACCCUGGACUGUAUGCUCUGCCAUGGCCUCCUGGACUGCCUGAUCCGCACUGGAAGUAUUCCCCGUGUCCCAGUCCUGCACCAGCCUCCAGGCCUAUGUUCCAGGUGUGUCUCAUCAUCCGAUCCUUUAGUCCUGUGUAUUUUAUAGUGAGCCCUGUUCUAAGGCUGGUCGUCCAGUAUUGUAAAUGUCUGUGGAUGUCAACCUCUCCUGCUACGUGUGUUUUUCCUGGUUCCCUUAAAGACAUUAAAAUCUCCUGUGUUGAUGUACUCCUCGUUCCUCGCUCCCGCACCAUAGUGAAAUUUGACAGUAGGAGGAAAUGCAAAAUAUAUUGUUUGAAGUCAAAGGCCACACAUGGAAUCAAACUAUUUGGUAUUUUGGCUCAAACUGAUGUAAAUCAGUAGAUAUUUACACCAACGAGGACAGUGUGUGAGGUGUGACUCAAGCUUUAAAAACUGAAUAAAGGGAAAAUGAAAAUUUUAAAAAGAGGCCAACAUAAGGCUAUAUUUAAAUCAGAGUAAAUGAGAAGGGGACAUACUUUCACAGCUAACCGUUGUAACUGUGUAAAAUGGCUUAUUGCUUUUAGAAACCAUCUGUUUCUCUUUUACUUUGUCACAUUUCUAAAACACAAGGCUUUAAAUGGGUUUAGGCCAGAUAAUGACGGAUUCAUUUUUUUUUUUUUUGCCGUAUGGAAACUUUUUUGAG